GAUGAACGCUGGCGGCGUGCCUAAUACAUGCAAGUCGAGCGAACGGACGAGAAGCUUGCUUUUCUGAUGUUAGCGGCGGACGGGUGAGUAACACGUGGAUAACCUACCUAUAAGACUGGGAUAACUUCGGGAAACCGGAGCUAAUACCGGAUAAUAUUUUGAACCGCAUGGUUCAAAAGUGAAAGACGGUCUUGCUGUCACUUAUAGAUGGAUCCGCGCUGCAUUAGCUAGUUGGUAAGGUAACGGCUUACCAAGGCAACGAUGCAUAGCCGACCUGACAGGCUGAUCGGCCACACUGGAACUGAGACGCGGUCCAGACUCCUACGGGAGGCAGCAGUAGGGAAUCUGCCGCAAUGGGCGAAAGCCUGACGGAGCAGCGCCGCGUGAGUGAUGAAGGUCUUCGGAUCGUAAAACUCUGUUAUUAGGGAAGAACAUAUGUGUAAGUAACUGUGCACAUCUUGACGGUACCUAAUCAGAAAGCCACGGCUAACUACGUG
rnacentral:rRNA from 1 species